rnacentral:rRNA from 1 species
ACGGCCCAAACUCCUACGGGAGGCAGCAGUAGGGAAUUUUCGGCAAUGGAGGAAACUCUGACCGAGCAACGCCGCGUGAACGAUGAAGUAUUUCGGUAUGUAAAGUUCUUUUAUUGAAGAAGAAAAAAUAGUGGAAAAACUAUCUUGACGUUAUUCAAUGAAUAAGCCCCGGCUAACUAUGUGCCAGCAGCCGCGGUAAGACAUAGGGGGCGAGCGUUAUCCGGAAUUAUUGGGCGUAAAGGGUGCGUAGGCGGAUAGGAAAGUCUAUAAUUUAAUUUCAGUGCUUAACGCUGUCUUGUUAUAGAAACUACCUUGACUAGAGUUAGAUAGAGGCAAGCGGAAUUCCAUGUGUAGCGGUAAAAUGUGUAAAUAUAUGGAGGAACACCAGAAGCGUAGGCGGCUUGCUGGGUCUUGACUGACGCUGAGGCACGAAAGCGUGGGUAGCAAACAGGAUUAGAUACCCUGGUAGUCCACGCCGUAAACGAUGAGUACUAAGUGUCGGGAUAAAACUCGGUACUGAAGUUAACACAUUAAGUACUCCGCCUGAGUAGUACGUACGCAAGUAUGAAACUUAAAGGAAUUGACGGGACUCCGCACAAGCGGUGGAUCAUGUUGUUUAAUUCGAAGAUACACGAAAAAUCUUACCAGGUCUUGACAUGCUCUGCAAAGCUAUAGAAAUAUAGUGGAGGUUAUCAGGGACACAGGUGGUGCAUGGUUGUCGUCAGUUCGUGUCGUGAGAUGUUAGGUUAAGUCCUAAAACGAGCGCAACCCUUGUCGUUAGUUACCAGCACGUAAUGGUGGGCACUUUAACGAGACUGCCAAUUAAACAUUGGAGGAAGGUGAGGAUUACGUCAAAUCAUCAUGCCCCUUAUGAUCUGGGCUACAAACGUGAUACAAUGGCUGUUACAAAGAGUAGCUGAAGCGCGAGUUUUUAGCCAAUCUCAAAAAAGCAGUCUCAGUUCGGAUUGAAGUCUGUAACUCGACUUCAUGAAGU